rnacentral:tRNA from 1 species
GCUGAGAUGGCGGAGAGGACAAUCGCAAGAGACUGUAAAUCUCUCGACCGUAAGGUCUACCCAGGUUCAAAUCCUGGUCUCAGCA